GCCAGCAUGGUGUAGUGGUUUGAGCGUUGGACUACAACUCUGGAGACCAGGGUUCGAAUCCUGAUUCAGCCA
rnacentral:tRNA from 1 species